rnacentral:rRNA from 1 species
CCUACGGGAGGCAGCAGUGGGGCAUAUUGGGCAAUGUAGGCAACUCUGACCCAGCAACGCCGCGUGAAUGAUGAAGGUCUUCGGAUUGUAAAGUUCUUUUCUACGGGAAGAAGAAAGUGACGGUACCUUAGGAAUAAGCCUCGGCCAACUACGUGCCAGCAGCCGCGGUAAUACGUAGGAGGCAAGCGUUAUCCGGCAUGACUGGGCGUAAAGGGUGCGUAGGUGGUUUGACAAGUGAGUAGCGCAACUCCGGAGCGCAACUUCGGAACUACUACUAAAACUGUUGGACUUGAGUGCAGGGGUGGCAAUCGGAAUUACUAGUGUAGCGGUGGAAUGCGUAGAUAUUAGGAGGAACACCAGUGGCGAAGGCGGAUUGCUAGACUGUAACUGACACUGAGGCACGAAAGCGUGGGGAGCAAACAGGAGUAGAUACCCUUGUAGUC